UACGAAGGGGGCUAGCGUUGUUCGGAUUUACUGGGCGUAAAGCGCACGUAGGCGGAUUGUUAAGUGAGGGGUGAAAUCCUGGAGCUCAACUCCAGAACUGCCUUUCAUACUGGCAAUCUAGAGUCCGGAAGAGGUAAGUGGAACUCCUAGUGUAGAGGUGGAAUUCGUAGAUAUUAGGAAGAACACCAGUGGCGAAGGCGGCUCACUGGUCCGGUACUGACGCUGAGGUGCGAAAGCGUGGGGAGCAAACAGG
rnacentral:rRNA from 1 species